GUGCUCGCUUUGGCAGCACAUAUACUAAAGUUGAAACAAUACAGAAAAGAUUAGCAUGGCUCCUGCUCAAGGAUGACAUGCAAAUUCAUGAAGUGCUCCAUAUUUAA
rnacentral:snRNA from 2 species